GUAGCUGGGGGCUGCUUGUACAGAGGGAUGAACUGAAGGGCAAGAACCAGAGGACGAGGACUAAAGUGGAUCAUUGCUGAGCUGAUCAGUUUCCAUCUUCUGCAAACAAUGGCAGCAUCCUUGCAGUUAUUGACAGAAAGGUAAUUAUCACUAACCUCAGAACUUUGCAGUGCGUGUUCGUAUUGCUCCAGGUACUUGUGGAAUGCCCAGGUUGAAGAUCGGUCAUGAGGAAUUUCAGCAGUGACAAAGAGGAAAAACAGGACACCUUGUUGAACUCAGGACAAGGGACAAGGAUAGUUGACAUUUCCAGGUGGUCUCCCAUCUCAGCCCAGACCAGACCAGACACAGGCCUGCUUAGCUCCAGCAUUAUGUGUCCUCAGACUGGGAUCAUGAACUGUGACUGUGAGUAGGUAUUUUUCUUUGAAAAGGGA